AGCGCAGGUGGUUGUAUAAGUCUGAAGUAAAAAGGCAGUGGCUCAACCAUUGUGUGCUUUGGAAACUGUACAACUUGAGUGCAGUAGAGGAAAGUGGAACUCCAUGUGUAGCGGUGAAAUGCGUAGAUAUAUGGAAGAACACCAGUGGCGAAGGCGGCUUUCUGGACUGUAACUGACGUUGAGGCUCGAAAGUGUGGUAGCAAACA
rnacentral:rRNA from 1 species